AAAGAGAAAGCCCACCCGCCUCGGCGGGAUCAAUGGGCGACCCUCCACCCUUUGUUGUUAUAACUACCUCGUUGCUUUGGCGGGACCGUCCGGUCCUCCGAGCGCGCCAGCCCUCCGGGGCAGGCGAGUGCCCGCCAGAGUCCAACCAAACUCUUGUUUUUAAACCAGUCGUCUGAGUAUAAAAUUUUAAUUAAAUUA
rnacentral:misc_RNA from 1 species